rnacentral:rRNA from 1 species
AGUGAACGCUGGCGGUAGGCCUAACACAUGCCAGUCGAACGGCAGCACAGUAAGAGCUUGCUCUUACGGGUGGCGAGUGGCGGACGGGUGAGGAAUACAUCGGAAUCUACUUUUUCGUGGGGGAUGACGUAGGGAAACUUACGCUAAUACCGCAUACGACCUACGGGUGAAAGCAGGGGAUCUUCGGACCUUGCGCGAUUGAAUGAGCCGAUGUCGGAUUAGCUAGUUGGCGGGGUAAAGGCCCACCAAGGCGACGAUCCGUAGCUGGUCUGAGAGGAGGAUCGGCCACAUUGGAACUGAGACACGGUCCAGACUCCUACGGGAGGCAGCAGUGGGGAAUAUUAGACAAUGGGCGCAAGCCUGAUCCAGCCAUACCGCGUGGGUGAAGAAGGCCUUCGGGUUGUAAAGCCCUUUUGUUGGGAAAGAAAAGCAGCAGGUUAAUACCCCGCGGUUCUGACGGUACCCAAAGAAUAAGCACCGGCUAACUUCGUG